AGCAAACAAAGCAGUCUGGUUGACUGCGGCCGAGGAAGACGUCUUAUCCGGCAGAGAGUGGUUCGAUUCCGCUUGUUUGCGCC
rnacentral:tRNA from 1 species